GGAAGUAAAAGUCGCAACAAGGUCUCCGUUGGUGAACCAGCGGAGGGAUCAUUACAGGACUCGCAAGACUCCUACAACCCUGUGAACUUAACUAUAAGCACGUUGCUUCGGCGGGUGUCUCGGAGGGGGUUCUCCCUCCCCGAGACGCUAAACCCGCCGGCAGCCUACUAUACUCUGUCUCUUUGCGUUGGCAUCUCGAGUACAAUCAAACAAGUUAAAACUUUCAACAACGGAUCUCUUGGUUCUG
rnacentral:misc_RNA from 1 species